CACUUAUCUCAUCAGCUACAGCAACAUGAAAAUGUUUCUCAUCCUCCAACAUAGAAUCACGUUUCUCCCCCACUACGUCGCGUAUGUCUUCUUUAUCGUCUUCUUCACAUCACAUCGCACUGAGUGAAUAAACAAAGACUCUCUUUCAAGGAUUCGCGACUCGGAGUCAAUACUCAAAAAGGUUCAAUUGAGCAUGUGCGGAAACAGAGGAAAACAUAAUUAUAAUCAAGAGACUCACCGGAUUUGAAGCUUCAAUCGCAAACAGAUUUGCUGAUGUGGAGUUGCGGACACGGGAUUGAAGAAACUAGAAGACGAUACUGAGUAAGUCCAAGCUUCCAGGUCGAGAUUCAAAUGGCAUUUUGUAAUCUGCAUUCGUGGAUUCAAUCGAACAUCGUUCAUAACCAUCGCAUUUGUGCGUGAAGCAUUUGUUUCUCAUCUUCGGAUCGACGUCGACUUUGCCGGAAACGGAUAGAGAGUGAAAAUGUUGAUUUGGAUUUGUGAAUUUUUGAUCUGAGACCUUGAUGCGUGAGUCAUGAAAAUGAACGAAGCUUGUGAUUUACGGAACAUGAAUUCGGCUAUGAAAUUCACAUGUAAUUACACUCAAAUUCAAAGGUUAAAUCAAUUGUGUUUGAGGGAGUGGAUGGUUGAGUUGUUGUUUGGAAGCUGUGUUUUUCUGCUUUGCGUUUUGUUGUAUUUCGUGAUGCCUUGCAGAUUUCACUUUCCUGCAUUUUUUCCAAUUCUCGUGUACAUGGUGCUUCCAAAUGCAUUUUCAGUUUUGUCUUAUCUACAUUGCUUCUUGGACUUGGAUAUUGGCAUUUGAAUUAAACUAUGGGCUUAUUCGAUGUAUAGACUUAAUGAAUUUGUUAAGAAAAUUUUAUCUUGUACCCCUACAGUUAGCCUCAUAUCCGUACAAUUUUUUAAAAAUUCUCAUUCUAUCCUUAAUUAGUUUUAACCAAUUUACCAUUUCAUUUUGAUCAUUCAGUUGAAAAUUUCAGAAAUUACACUUUCACACCCCACACCGAAACUCCUGCAAAAAGACUUCCGGAAUGGAAAAUCUUCCCCAAAUAUGUGUAGAUACUACUGAUACGUUUAUAACGACUGAAAGAUUUGGUACACGAGAACAGGUUAUCAGAUGGAUUAAAGAGGUUGGAAACGAUAAUAAAGUAACUGUUAUUAUCAGUCGUUCAAGAAAUGUGGAUGCCCAUUUAAAAUCAGGUCGACUCCGGCGAAAGAUGGAUUUGGUUGGAAGAUUGAUGUAAAAUGUGGGUUACAUAAUCAUGGUUUACUUGAUAGAUUAGAAGGUCAUUCGUUUAUCGGUAGGUUGACCACAGAUGAGAAGCAACAUGUCGCUGAUUUGACAAAGAGACAUGUACCCCCUAGACACAUAUUGCUUUCCUUGCAAGAGCGAGAUCCUGAGAAUGUCACUCGGAUUACGCAAGUAUACAAGCAUAAGAGUGUGAUACAAAAAGAGAUAAGAGGUCCUAGGAGUGAGAUACAACAUAUGUUUAAGUUUAUUAAGAAUGCAGGUUAUGUCUAUUAGAGUAGAAAAAAGGAUGACUCGGAAGUGGUGAGAGAGAUAUUUUGGGCACAUCCUGAUUUAGUUAAGUUGUUGAAUAUUUUUCCGAUUGUGUUAGUUAUGGAUAGCACCUACAAGACAAACAAAUAUAGACAACCUUUGUUUGAAAUUA